GAGUUGGACACAACUGAGUGACUGAACAGCUGAGAAUCACUUAUAGCUCUGUGUGCGUCACGAGGUACUCGCUUGGCCACAAGCUACUUUUGUUUUGUAAGCAUAUAUAAACUCCACCUGGAAAGCCCUUGAGGUCAGGUCAGUUCAGGUCUGCUGUUGCGCCAGCCAGGAAAGAAUAAAUGCAUCUGCAGUUCCUACGGCUCCUUGAGUUUUCUUCCAGCCUCUUAGCUUGUGUCUUGCCUACCAUGGGUUCGGCAAACAGCGCACACAGUGAGAUACAGUGAGACAGCGAGUGUGCCCAAAGCCAAGGACUGAUAAAACUCCCAGGACUUUGGAGAAAGAGGGCUAUCAUUUACUGUAUUGACGUAAUUAAUUUGAACAUUUUUUGUUUAGCUUUACUUCUUUGAUGGCUUGUCUAUUGUCUGUGUCCCCACACUAGAAAGUAAGUUUCAGAAGAAGAAGAGCUCUGUCCCAUCCCUUCUGUAUCCCCAGUACUUUAGCACUUGGCUGGCAGUAGGUGCUCAAUAUAUAUUUAUUGUUUAAUAAAUGUGGUAAAUUAAAAAUGGUGGCCAUAAAUUCUUUGCUAAUCUUCCCAUUGAAAUGGGGUGAGAGGGUCUAUUUCUCCUCACUUUGCAUCUGGGCUGUGUUUAAUGAUGUGCUAGAAUAUGGCAGAGUGAUGCUCUGGGACUUCUGUAGCUCAGCUGUAAGAAGCUUUACAGGUUUAACCUGGGGUUUUGGAACUGCUUGUGGAAUGCUUUCUCUUGGAGCCUGUUGUUCUUGCAUUGAGAACUCCGAGGCACAUGAUGAGGCCACAUGUAGAUGCCCUAGUCAGUAGCCCUACCUGAGCUCCCAGCUGACGGACAGCAUCCGCUUCAGGUCACAGUAGUGAGCCAGUGUGGACAUCCAGCCCAGAAGAGUGUUCAGAUGGCCUCAGCUCCAGUGAGCAAAUGUGUGAUUGCAGCUGGACAAGAGGCCCGUGAGAGAACAGGCCAGCGGAGCCCAGUCAAUCCAAGUACCGAGAGAUGGUGAAGAGGAGAAGGGUGGUUCUGGCGUUCCGGAGGAUACCCAUGCCCAUGAAAACACAGCAUCAGUAGAAAGCAACAAACUCCUUUAUAUGCAGCAACAUGGAUGAUUUAUGCUCCGUAAAAGAAGCCAGAUUUAAAAGGCAGCAUACGCUAGGAUUCCAUUUAUAUGACAUUCUAGAAAUGGUCAAACAACAGGGAAAAUAAAUCAGGCUUCCCAGGUGGCUCAGAUGGUAAAGAAUCUGCCUGCAAUUCAGGAG